rnacentral:rRNA from 1 species
GAUGAACGCUGGCGGCGUGCCUAAUACAUGCAAGUCGAGCGAACAGAUGAGGAGCUUGCUCCUCUGACGUUAGCGGCGGACGGGUGAGUAACACGUGGAUAACCUACCUAUAAGACUGGGAGAACUUCGGGAAACCGGAGCUAAUACCGGAUAAUAUAUUGAACCGCAUGGUUCAAUAGUGAAAGACGGUUUUGCUGUCACUUAUAGAUGGAUCCGCGCCGCAUUAGCUAGUUGGUAAGGUAACGGCUUACCAAGGCAACGAUGCGUAGCCGACCUGAGAGGGUGAUCAGCCACACUGGAACUGAGACACGGUCCAGACUCCUACGGGAGGCAGCAGUAGGGAAUCUUCCGCAAUGGGCGAAAGCCUGACGGAGCAACGCCGCGUGAGUGAUGAAGGUCUUCGGAUCGUAAAACUCUGUUAUUAGGGAAGAACAAAUGUGUAAGUAACUAUGCACGUCUUGACGGUACCUAAUCAGAAAGCCACGGCUAACUACGUG